AAAAAAUUUGAAUAUAUUAAAAUAAUCCCCAGAGCAUAGGCUAUAAUGUUGGAUAUAAAAUGUGCCCUGGGUUUUGGACGUGACUGCAGAAGUAGGACC